UACGAAGGGGGCGAGCGUUGUUCGGAUUUACUGGGCGUAAAGGGCGCGCAGGCGGCUCAUUUUGUCAGGCGUGAAAGCCCCGGGCUUAACCUGGGAACUGCAUCUGAUACUGGAUGGCUUGAGUUCGGGAGAGGGAUGCGGAAUUCCAGGUGUAGCGGUGAAAUGCGUAGAUAUCUGGAGGAACACCGGUGGCGAAGGCGGCAUCCUGGACCGACACUGACGCUGAGGAGCGAAAGCCAGGGGAGCAAACGGG
rnacentral:rRNA from 1 species